GCCUGCAUGAAGUCGGAAUUGCUAGUAAUCGCAGAUCAGCAUGCUGUGGUGAAUACGUUCCCGGGCCUUGUACACACCGCCCGUCACACCAUGGGAGUCGGUAACACCCAAAGUUGGUAGUCUAACCGCAAGGAGGACGCCGCCUAAGGUGGGAUUGAUGACUGGGGUGAAGUCGUAACAAGGUAUC
rnacentral:rRNA from 1 species